GCUGCGGUGUCCGAGUGGUUAAGGAGUUGAACUCGAAAUCCAAUGGAUUGUAACCGCACAGGUUCGAAUCCUGUCCGUAGCG
rnacentral:tRNA from 1 species